rnacentral:rRNA from 1 species
UGUUGUUUUUCUGAAAAUCAAUUUAAGAACUGUUCAUUUUUAGUUGUUAAGACUUUAUCGGCUUACUGCUAUUUUUUGGAUUUUUCUUGAAUGCACUUUUCAGUUAACAAGUCAACAUCAAUUUCUUUUGUUGUAAAACGAUAAGAGGAAGGUGGCUUUAUCUUCGGAUGAAGUGUUUAUAGCCUCUUACUUCUGCAAUCGGAGAGAUUGAGGUCUGCAGCGUAGAUCCUUCGGGGUUAGAUACUUCUAUGCUAAGCUAUAGUCCUAUAUAGACAACUUGUUGACUAUGUUCGAUCCUGUAACUUACUCGUAGAUACUAUUUUACCUAC